rnacentral:lncRNA from 1 species
UUGGGUAUCUUAAGAAACCAGAUUUGGUCUUGGGUUCUGGUUCUGGUGAUUCAGAACCAGGCGAAGUCAGGUCAGAGAGUCCAGGCAGACUGUCUCCGCUCAGGACCUCGGGCUGGUCAUCAUCAGUGAAUCUGUCUGGGUGAUCAAGAUAAGACUGACUUUGUUUUGAAACUGUUGCUCCUCUGUUUCCUUUAGAUAACAGCUCUCUGUUUGCUGUGAUUGGAUCCAGCGUGGUUCUUUUUGGGUAUCUUAAGAAACCAGCUCUGGUCUUGGGUUCUGGUUCUGGUGAUUCAGAACCAGACGAACUCAGCUCAGAGAUUUCAGACGGACUCUCUCUGCUCAGGACCUUGAGGUAGUAAUGAUCAGUGAAUCUGUCUUGGUGAUCAGGAUAAGACUGUCGUUGUUUUGAAACUGUUCCCCUUCUUUUUCCUUUAGAUAACAGCUGUCUGUGUGCUGUGUUUGGAUCCAGUGUGAUUCUUUCUGAAUAUCUUAAGAAACCAGCUCUGGUCUUGGGUUCUGAUGGUUCUGACAGUAAAACAUCCACUUCAGUCACUGCCUGUGAGACAUUUGUCCAUGUCUCUGUCAGAAGAUCCUGGAGUUUAUCUCUGACUGCUGACACUGCUGCUGUCACCUCCGCAAAAUAUCUCAGAGAACGAAUGUUGAUCCUGGAUGAGUCUGCAGGUUUUACCGGUCCUGACAGUGAAGAGUAGCUGUGCAGAAACUGGUUGUGGUCCUCUGUGAGUGAGAGCUUCUGCAGAUCAGUGUCUUUUCUCUUCAGCUCAGUGAUCUCCUGCUCCAGCUCAUCCUGAAUCUCUUUGACUCGACUCACUUCACGUUCCUGUUGGGAUCUGACCUGCUGCUCUACCUCAGAGCGGCGUUUCUCCAUGACACGGAUCAGCUGGCUGAAGAUCUCCUGGCUGUGCUCCACUGCUUUAUCAGCAGAGCCGUUGAUAGCCUCCACCUUCUGUUGGAGCAGCUUCACAUCUUCCUCUCUGUCCUGGACUCUCUGCUGGAUGUUUUCUCGACUCUCCUCCAGAUCUUUCUGCCUCUCAGUCCUUUCUGCUGCAGCUGAGACUGUGUCAUGGCCUUUGUGUUGGUCCACAGAGCAGAGGUAACAGAUAGACUGCUGAUCAGUGCGGCAGAACAUCUUCAUCACCUCAUCAUGACGAGAGCAGAUGUUCUCCUGGAGCUCCUUGGAGGGCUCCACCAGCUUGUGUUUCUUAAAUGAAGGUGAUUCAAAAUGAGGCUGGAGGUGAAUCUGGCAGUAAGAAACCAGACAUUGCAGACAGGACUUGACAGCUUUCAGUUUUCUCCCACUGCAGAAAUCACAGGCCACAUCUUCAGGUCCAGCAUCAGAGGGAUCAUCAGGAGCAGCUUGGAGUCUGCUCUUCUUCAGAUCCUCCACUAAACUUGCUAAGAUGGUGUUUUUCUUCAGGACAGGCCUCGGUAUGAAGGUCUGCCUGCACUGAGGACAGCUGUAGAUCUUCUUCUCAUCCUCAGUAUCCCAGUAGGUUUGAAUACAGCUCAUGCAGAAGCUGUGUCCACAGUUAACAGUCACCGGAUCAUUCAGUAGAUCCAAACAGAUGGAACAAGAGAGAGAUUCACAGUCCAGCUGAACUCCUUUCUGCGCCAUUUCAACACUAGCUGUCAACUGACUGACUGAGUUUCAUUUCCUAAGAAGGUAAACCAGUCUGAGCUCUGAUCUCAACAACAUCAGGAUCAGCUCAGCACACGCUGGUUACUCCGUGCUCAACUGUAGAUCUGAAGAGGAGGGAACAAGGAAGUGAGCGUGCAGAGUGGAGUGUGCUGUGUGAGAGACGAGGGAGGGGAAAUGCAGCUCUUGUGUAAUCCAGUAAGAGGAGCAGCGAUGUGAACUUUUGACUCUCAAAUUCCAACAAGUUGAGGUUAUUAAUGCUGCAGCGGUCCUGAAGAUCAACUGCACCAACAUUUAUUCACCUCAUAUCAACAUUGACGGAUCACAGAAACAAUUACACUGUUUUAUCCUGAUAUCCACACUUAUUUAAAUAUACACCACAUAUAAACUCUCUCUCUCUGGCUUGUUGACCUCUGAGGGAAGUUUUUCUCACUUGUUUUCUUUCUUUGUGUUGUUUGGUUUGUGCUCGUUGUUUAUUCUUCGUUUACCCUUCUCAUAACCUUUUCUCAAAUCUGUGUCUCAUCUUUCUCUGCUGUCCAGAGAGGUGAUCUUCUCCAAUGUACCCAGCUGAGCCAUCUGGUCUCUCACAGAUGUUAGGUCUAGAUAAUCCUAGGUCUAGUGUUGUUGGAGACGGCGUAGUUUAAGGAGAAGGAAAUGAAAACUCACAACAAUAACCUGCAUAAUAAACAAGAUUAAUAAAAAAUAGACAGUGAUAUUUUGGCUUAUUUCCCACUACGGAGCCCUGUGGAUUUUCACAAUAAGGGCAACAUGUUUUGGCGUAAGAUGCCGCCAAAUGCCAUGAUCAAGGUAAGUCACAUGACUUUUGUUGUGGACAUUACACCCCUCCGACCAAACAAUGUUUUAAAUGCUAAAAUGUCAUGAAUGUGCCAUGCUGUCAGCUUCGGAAGACACCGUAGUUUGCCUUAGUUUUUUGUUGUGAACUUGGCAGAUAGCUAACAGAUGAUCUCCAAUGAACAGGUGAGUCAGCAGUUGAGUUUUCAGCCUGUUUACUGUUGAUGAACUGUGAAACUGCAACAUGAAAAUAAACAAUAAAAUGUCACAUGUUGUUUAACUCAAUAAUCUAAUACUAUACAAAUCCACAUAAAGAACAUUAAUUUUUAUUUAACAACACCAGCAAAUAAUCGCAGAUUAGCCUAAUGCUAAAGUUAUAUUGGAAAUGCCAUUGACAGGCUGGCGCGUUAGCAUCGCUCUUUUUUUUUUUUUUUUUUUUUCAAGUUUUCCCACAUGAAUUAUGAACUGUUUUUGAAAUUUUAACACGUGAGUUCAACACAGUAACAACAAUAAAUGCAUAUGUUUGAUGUACACCUUGGUAGUGUGUGGUCCGUGUUUAUAAAUGCAUGCAGUAAAUUACCAGCAAUAUCUUUGUGCUGACUACGGCAUCUCCAACAACACGCAUCGUCUGAAUAGCUGUGUUGUGCUGAAUUGCAUUUCACUCCAUACACACUGAAAUAGGAAAUAUCCCCCAAACCAAGUAUUUUAUUUUUAUGAGGUGAGCAAUGACAAUGAAUUGCACGGACCCUCUGAAGCAUUACUGUCAUGACACCAAUCCUGUUUGGCUGGUGAAAUUUUUUGUCCGCCUUGGGUAGUCCCACGACCAUAAGUAUCUUAUGUGGAUGGCACCACCUCAUUUAAACACCUCUUCUCACUCGGAGCAUAUCUCGCGUCCAGGGCUAGCUAGCUAAACUGUCGCCGGUGCUGCAACCUUGGUUAUUUUUCUGUUUCGUUGGUCACAUCAGAUCAAUUCCAGUGCUCCCGAACCCCUCCACGGCUUGGUUAGCACUGUUCUCGCAGCCCCAACACAGUUUUUCAAGCACAAAGCAUUAGCACACCAGCUAAUUCUAUGCUCACCAGUUAACUGUCUCGAUUCCCCACCGGUACACCAGUCCGAGAAGAAUGGAGGCUACUAUCCCUCACAACAGGGGGCAUGGAGACUCUGGAGCCAGGCUCUGUAGCUGUGGGAAUAAGACUUUGAGCAGGGAUCCACACCAGGUCAGGCUCGGGCUGCCUGGGGUUGAAACAUGCCCAGGGGCUCCCAGCUCGACCGUGGCUCCCCAGCAGGAGGAAGAUGUCCUAGAAUUGGGCAAUGGGGCGGCUCAGAACUUCUCAAAUCAGAGGAUGAAGAAGAGGACAACAUCUUCAUCACUCCAGCCCGGGCUGCGCAACCUGAGGCCUUCGCCCGGGACGAGUGUAGCAUAGUAGCUUCUCCUCUUCCUAGCUCAGAUAUACUCCAUGUGUGCAAAUGCGCUGCUGUCCGGCUAGCCAUCCCCUGGCCC